GAUGAACGCUGGCGGCGUGCCUAAUACAUGCAAGUCGAGCGAACAGACGAGGAGCUUGCUCCUCUGAUGUUAGCGGCGGACGGGUGAGUAACACGUGGAUAACCUACCUAUAAGACUGGGAUAACUUCGGGAAACCGGAGCUAAUACCGGAUAACAUGUUGAACCGCAUGGUUCAACAGUGAAAGACGGUCUUGCUGUCACUUAUAGAUGGAUCCGCGCCGCAUUAGCUAGUUGGUAAGGUAACGGCUUACCAAGGCAACGAUGCGUAGCCGACCUGAGAGGGUGAUCGGCCACACUGGAACUGAGACACGGUCCAGACUCCUACGGGAGGCAGCAGUAGGGAAUCUUCCGCAAUGGGCGAAAGCCUGACGGAGCAACGCCGCGUGAGUGAUGAAGGUCUUCGGAUCGUAAAACUCUGUUAUUAGGGAAGAACAAAUGUGUAAGUAACUAUGCACGUCUUGACGGUACCUAAUCAGAAAGCCACGGCUAACUACGUG
rnacentral:rRNA from 1 species